rnacentral:rRNA from 1 species
AUCUCCAACAUAGUGGUGGAAUCGGACUGUCAAACCCUCUUGCACGCGAUACAAGGUUCCGAAUACGAUCGGUCCUCAAAAGGUGUUCUCUUCAGAGAUAUUCGCCAAUUUAUCUGUCUGAACUUCAGCACAUUUGCUUUCUCAUUUGCACCUCGAGACUGUAAUAAAGUUGCCCAUGCCCUUGCUGCGUUGGGUAGUAAUGGCCAAGAGCCCCAUCGGCUGUGGUUGGAGGCAGUGUCGGAUGAUGUAAGUGUGCUGCUGGCCAGCGAUGUAGCCGCGCCUGUUUGA